rnacentral:rRNA from 1 species
GACGGAGGAUGCAAGCGUUAUCCGGAAUGAUUGGGCGUAAAGCGUCCGCAGGUGGCAGUUCAAGUCUGCUGUCAAAGACCGGGGCUUAACUUCGGAAAGGCAGUGGAAACUGAACAGCUAGAGUAUGGUAGGGGCAGAGGGAAUUCCGGGUGUAGCGGUGGAAUGCGUAGAGAUCCGGAAGAACACCGGUGGCGAAGGCGGCCUGCUGGGCAGUUUUACUGACACUGAGGCGCGACAGCGUGGGGAGCAAACAGG